CAUUCAUAAAACGACUGAAGCUUCGUCAGGAUACGAAAAUCUCGAGUUGCACAUUCGUCAACAUGAAGGCGUUCUUCUCCGCGAUGGUCCUCUUGGUGGCCCUGUUGACCAUCUUCGCCUCCACAGAGGCGAUGCCCGAACCCAAAGCUGACCACUGGCCCUGGGAGGGCCUGGGUUAUGGGUACACCAGCAUCUACAGGCCUUACACUUACUCCUCCUACAGUAUCUACAGACCUCUCAUAAGCUAUGGGUACGGGUGGUGAUCACUGGAUCUGUGUCUGAAGCUAUAUGUAAAUUGCUUUCUUCUAAUCUGUCAAAAAUUCUAAAUAAAACUGGAGUAAAUA